ACGCUGGCGGCAUGCCUAACACAUGCAAGUCGAACGAAGGCUUCGGCCUUAGUGGCGCACGGGUGCGUAACGCGUGGGAAUCUGCCCCUUGGUUCGGAAUAACAGUUGGAAACGACUGCUAAUACCGGAUGAUGACGUAAGUCCAAAGAUUUAUCGCCGAGGGAUGAGCCCGCGUAGGAUUAGGUAGUUGGUGUGGUAAAGGCGCACCAAGCCGACGAUCCUUAGCUGGUCUGAGAGGAUGAUCAGCCACACUGGGACUGAGACACGGCCCAGACUCCUACGGGAGGCAGCAGUGGGGAAUAUUGGACAAUGGGCGAAAGCCUGAUCCAGCAAUGCCGCGUGAGUGAUGAAGGCCUUAGGGUUGUAAAGCUCUUUUACCCGGGAUGAUAAUGACAGUACCGGGAGAAUAAGCUCCGGCUAACUCCGUGCCAGCAGCCGCGGUAAUACGGAGGGAGCUAGCGUUAUUCGGAAUUACUGGGCGUAAAGCGCACGUAGGCGGCUUUGUAAGUAAGAGGUGAAAGCCCAGAGCUCAACUCUGGAAUUGCCUUUUAGACUGCAUCGCUUGAAUCAUGGAGAGGUCAGUGGAAUUCCGAGUGUAGAGGUGAAAUUCGUAGAUAUUCGGAAGAACGCCAGUGGCGAAGGCGGCUGACUGGACAUGUAUUGACGCUGAGGUGCGAAAGCGUGGGGAGCAAAC
rnacentral:rRNA from 1 species